CGACGAAGAGACACGAUUGUGGUACUCCUACUCGCCUCCGUGAGUUCUAUAUAUAUAUAUGCUGCUCGCCUGAACAUCUGGCUUGUUAGUUUGUAAACCAUCAGUAAUAUAUAUAGCAGCAGAUAGUUAUACCAUCACCAGCUCGGCACACGUCGUACAGGAUGCCGGCGAUCACCGGCCGACGGCCGGUGGCUCGAUUACGCGCGAUAAUCCAGCUCGUGCUGCUGGUUCUUGUGAUCGGCAGUGGCAUCCUCGUCGUGCCGGCGGCUGGGAGCACCGGCAAAACCGGCGGCACGGGAAGCAGUGGCAAUGGUCGACCAACUGGUACGGGUGGUCCGUCUACCGCAUCACCGUACAGGACAUAUGGCAGACGGGUUAGUGCGGUUAGUGGUUUCAGCGUAGGCUAGCCAUGACAGGUCUCGGAGGGCAAUGGCCGCAGGCGGCGGUGACGAAUGCUCGUGUCUUAAUUAGCACAGAAGGGCACACGAGAGCAGCAGGCGCGUAUGUCGCAUGUCUGGUUCAUUCGUUAUAUGAAAACUAUCUGAAUUCACCGUCGAAAAUUGUGCCGUCAUAUAUACCGAUACGUAGCUCAGUUUGUUGACUAGUUUCUGUAAUAAGAUGAAUUUACUAUUCACGGUGUGUAGAACUGUAGAUUAACUAUAUAUAUGUGACUGCAGGCUGAAAUUUAUUUUGAUUUCAGCCGAAUUUCUCA